UUCAGGGAUGGGUGGUUCAGUGUCCCAGGCUUUGAGAGCUCUAAAUGCCGAGCGGGAUGAUCAGGUGCUGCUGUGAUGGCAGCCUCCCUCCCAGAAGAGGUGCGAGUCACUGCUAUUAUUGUGUGGGAUUCUUUGAGAUCCUGUGAUGGAAAGCCCUGCAGGAAGAUAUCAUAGAGGAAAAAGGCCCCUGGUGUCAUAGCGCUCAACCACUUCUUGUCUGAGGGAAACAAAUGCACACAUUCUCUUCUCCUUUGGAAAUUGUCCAUCUUGAACAGAAGUCAGAAGUCUUUUGCAAUGGGAAGAAAUCAGAAGCAACCACAAGCUAGAAAUAUCCUAGGAAGAUUUUUAAGAAGUCUUACAGUCACAUCUGUCUUGAAUCUGUCAUACUACCUGACCCAUGGCUUUUUGUUCCAUCCCUGCUCAGCUGUCAGAGGCUUUUUACAAGCACACAGACCUUUGUUACCUCAAAACCUUAGGAUUUGCUUCACCAUUACAUGGUAUAACAGCAAAUAAGUUUUUAAUUAACACUUUGACCUCAUUGAAGUCCAAAUUCUCCUUGCCAGCCUAAAGAAAAUAAUGCUUUAUAUCGAACUUAGGGUUUUCUAUUUGAUGCAGUGUGGUGAAAAAAAAAAACAACUUUGCUUCAGUAACACUGGAAACAUAAUUUCAAUUGAAAAUGCCAUACCAAAACAUCCAGCAAAACGAUGUCAAGUCUCUUCAUAUUUUUUUUAUUUCCACAGUGAGCAUUAAUAUUAUAGUCUUCAUCGUGGCUUAUGAAAUACCUCAUAGUGCAGAAAUUCAGUUUUGU